UACGUAGGGUGCGAGCGUUAAUCGGAAUUACUGGGCGUAAAGCGUGCGCAGGCGGUUUUGUAAGCCAGAUGUGAAAUCCCCGGGCUUAACCUGGGAAUGGCAUUUGGGACUGCAAGGCUUGAGUGCGGCAGAGGAGACUGGAAUUCCUGGUGUAGCAGUGAAAUGCGUAGAUAUCAGGAGGAACACCGAUGGCGAAGGCGGUUCUCGUGGGCCUUACCUGACGCUGAGGAGCGAAAGCGUGGGAGCGAACAGG
rnacentral:rRNA from 1 species